GUCCCCGUAGCUCAGCUGGAUAGAGCGAAGGUUUCCUAAACCUUAGGUCGCGUGUUCGACUCACGCCGGGGAUA
rnacentral:tRNA from 1 species